UACUGUUUCGUACUUUUUUCACUUAACAAUCAGCUCCUCAUGCUAUGUUGUUUCUCGUUGCAUUUAAACUUCCAAUGUCUGUGUAUAUAAUAUUAUAAUGUUCAUUUAAAGAUAUGCAUUUAAAUUCAUGUGAUCUUUGAUUGGAAGAACCUAGUGUAACGAUGAGAUCAAAAUGCUAGGAAGUAUCAGUUUAGGAUAUAUUUUGGCACAAGAACAUGGAAGAGAGUGAGGAUGUGAAGUUGCUUUCCUUUUUGAGCCACAACAAUGUUUUUACUGAGCUUUUUGCUUGAGGUGGGAGAUUGCUUGAUCUGACAAAUUUGUAUCUGAUUUUUCCAACUUUGCUGCAUGAUUGAGGCAUUAAGCAAGAGGUUUAGGGGUAAUCUUAAGACCUUCUACUAUUGCUUUUUACUCUUAUGAUACAGCUAAGCCUAUGUGAACGAAAAAUGAAGGGAAAGAAUAGUAGGAUAAGAAAUAGGGAGAAAAGAAUACUAUCUUAACUACUAAAGCUUCCAUUUUGUUAUCAUUUUUCCACUUUAGCCUAAACAAAAGAA
rnacentral:misc_RNA from 1 species